UGGACUGGGCAGCAACUGUAUCACGCACCACACGCUUUUCCCACUCCUUUGCUUGGUCGGCGAUUUAUUGGAAAUAAACAGGCGGCAACUGGAGUUCUACAACCCCACUUAUCUCGAGCACGCCGACAGGAAUAGAGCUCUGAGAUACACCGCCUACCGUUUGUUUGUUUGGUGGGUCUGGGGCCGCCUUGGCAGAGGAAAUCGCCAACCCCUGCCCGGUUGUGUGCUGCACAGGAUAAGGAGCACAUUCCCAUCAGCUAAUUAUGAGCUGUUUUCCUGGGUAUAGCUUCAAGGCAUCUCACAGAAAGUUGCUGCAGGAGAAGCUGAAGUGUUCACCUUCAUGAAUUUGAAGCCAGGCAAAGUGCAAUAUUUGUGCAGUGUUAACAAUAAAAGUUGAUGU
rnacentral:lncRNA from 1 species